CAGCAGCCGCGGGAAUACGUAGGUGGCAAGCGUUGUCCGGAAUUAUUGGGCGUAAAGGGCUCGCAGGCGGUUUCUUAAGUCUGAUGUGAAAGCCCCCGGCUUAACCGGGGAGGGUCAUUGGAAACUGGGAAACUUGAGUGCAGAAGAGGAGAGUGGAAUUCCACGUGUAGCGGUGAAAUGCGUAGAGAUGUGGAGGAACACCAGUGGCGAAGGCGACUCUCUGGUCUGUAACUGACGCUGAGGAGCGAAAGCGUGGGGAGCGAACGGGAUUAGAUACCCCCGUAGUCCCUGUCUCUUAUAC
rnacentral:rRNA from 1 species